rnacentral:rRNA from 1 species
CCUACGGGGGGCUGCAGUGGGGAAUAUUGCGCAAUGGGCGAAAGCCUGACGCAGCGACGCCGCGUGAGGGAUGAAGGUCUUCGGAUCGUAAACCUCUGUCAGCAGGGAAGAACGGUCACUGUGCUAAUCAGCAGUGAAUUGACGGUACCUGCAAAGGAAGCACCGGCUAACUCCGUGCCAGCAGCCGCGGUAAUACGGAGGGUGCGAGCGUUAAUCGGAAUUACUGGGCGUAAAGCGCUCGUAGGCGGUAUGUCAAGUCAAGGGUGAAAUCCCCGGGCUCAACGUGGGAACUGCCUUUGAAACUGGCUAGCUGGAGUGUGGUAGAGGAUGGUGGAAUUCCAGGUGUAGGAGUGAAAUCCGUAGAGAUCUGGAGGAACAUCAGUGGCGAAGGCGACUAUCUGGCACAUAACUGACGCUGAGGUGCGAAAGCGUGGGGAGCAAACAGGAUUAGAUACCCCGGUAGUC